rnacentral:miRNA from 1 species
UAGCUAGGUUGCGGUGCACUGCU